rnacentral:sRNA from 1 species
AUGUGAAGACUCCUUUGGUUGGUUCCUCCCCCAACCGUUUGCCCCGAAAGCCUUGGUCUUCGGGGCUUUUUUAUGCGCCGC